UGCCAGCAGCCGCGGUAAUACGGAGGGUGCGAACGUUAAUCGGAAUUACUGGGCGUAAAGCGCGCGUAGGUGGUUUGUUAAGUGGGAUGUGAAAGCCCCAGGCUCAACCUGGGAACUGCAUUCCAAACUGACGAACUAGAGUACGAUAGAGGGAGGUAGAAUUCAGAGUGUAGCGGUGAAAUGCGUAGAUAUUCUGGGGAAUACCGGUGGCGAAGGCGGCCUCCUGGAUUGAUACUGACACUGAGGUGCAAAAGCGUGGGGAGCAAACAGGAUUAGAUA
rnacentral:rRNA from 1 species